rnacentral:rRNA from 1 species
GACGAACGCUGGCGGCGUGCUUAACACAUGCAAGUCGAACGGAAAGGCCCUGCUUUUGUGGGGUGCUCGAGUGGCGAACGGGUGAGUAACACGUGAGUAACCUGCCCUUGACUUUGGGAUAACUUCAGGAAACUGGGGCUAAUACCGGAUAGGAGCUCCUGCUGCAUGGUGGGGGUUGGAAAGUUUCGGCGGUUGGGGAUGGACUCGCGGCUUAUCAGCUUGUUGGUGGGGUAGUGGCUUACCAAGGCUUUGACGGGUAGCCGGCCUGGGAGGGUGACCGGCACAUUUGGAAUGAAGUACCGGCCCAACCCCCCAGGGGGGGCAGAGGGGGGGAAUUUUCAACAAGGGGGGAAGCCCUAAGCCGCCAACCCCGGUGCGGGAUGGCGGCCUUUGGGUUUUAAAACCUCUUUCCCUGUGGACAAGCGGGAGGGAACGGAAUUGGUAAAAGAACCCCCGGCAACCUCCGU